GUGUGUGCUCAAACAUGACGCUAAAGUGAGCAAGCGCCUAAUUCUUCUGCCCCAGCUACAAACUCUCCCAAUCCCCACUCAUACGCACCCACAUACCGAGUGAGAAAGCGCCUAAUUCUUCUACCCCAGCUACAAACUCUCCCAAUCCCCACUGAUACGCACCCACAUACCGACCGCGCACGCACCGCUUCAAGCAAUCAUACAAAUCUACCACUAAGCAGCGCUCCAAACCCUAGAAACUAAGAAAAUGUGCGUGCGGCC
rnacentral:lncRNA from 1 species